CAGGAAUCGAACCCGGACCUCUGGAUCUGUAGCCAGGAACGCUGACCACUAGACCACAGAGGCCUAUCAGUAACAACAAAUGAGUUUGAUGGCAUCGCUGUGGAGAAUUACAGUUCUUGAUGGUGAUGAUGUUGAAGAUGAACAAUUCAGCCAGCUGAAGCAAGGAGGUCCUGCGUGGACAGUCGCUUUUGAGUGAGUUUUUUGCAAAUUGAAAAUUGAGGCCCCACUUCCCUUCUACAUUUCUUCCAUCUACAGGGAGGGCAUGUCGCCGGGCGCCAGCAGCGAGGAGUCCAUGAAGCAAAGUCAUCAUCUUGCACUUCACUUCUUCCAACAUCAAUCUGGCCACCAGGUUGUCAAGAGUUCUGUCCAUGGUCGCCGCUGA